CAAGCGGUGGAGUAUGUGGUUAAUUCGACGCAACGCGCAGAACUUACCUGGUCUUGACAUCCCGAGAAUUUUCCGGAAACGGAGAAGUGCCUCGCAAGAGGAGCUUGGAGACAGGUGCUGCAUGGCUGUCGUCAGCUCGUGUCGUGAGAUGUUGGGUUAAGUCCCGCAACGAGCGCAACCCUUGUCUUUAGUUGCCAUCAUUAAGUUGGGCACUCUAAAGAGACUGCCGGUGUCAAACCGGAGGAAGGUGGGGAUGACGUCAAGUCCUCAUGGCCUUUAUGACCAGGGCUACACACGUACUACAAUGGCAGGUACAAAGGGCAGCCACUUAGCGAUAAGGCGCGAAUCCCAUAAAACCUGUCUCAGUCCGGAUUGGAGUCUGCAACUCGACUCCAUGAAGUUGGAAUCGCUAGUAAUCGCAGAUCAGCACGCUGCGGUGAAUACGUUCCCGGGCCUU
rnacentral:rRNA from 1 species